GGAAACUGGACGACCUUCGGGGAGCUUGUACAGGUGCUGCAUGGCUGUCGUCAGCUCGUGUCGUGAGAUGUCGGUUAAGUCCGCUAACGAGCGCAACCCUCGCUGUGUGUUACAAGUGUCACACGGAACUGCCGGUCAUAAACCGGAGGAAGGUGGGAUGACGUCAAGUCAGCAUGGCCUUUAUAUCCUGGGCUACACACACGCUACAAUGGGAAGGGACAAUAGGUUGCGAAGCCGCGAGGCGGAGCCAAUCCAGCAAAACUUCCCUCAGUUCAGAUUGCAGGCUGCAACUCGCCUGCAUGAAGUUGGAGUUGCUAGUAAACGCAGGUCAGCCAUACUGCGUUGAAUACGUUCCCGGGGCUU
rnacentral:rRNA from 1 species